rnacentral:rRNA from 1 species
CCUACGGGGGGCAGCAGUGAGGAAUAUUGGUCAAUGGACGAGAGUCUGAACCAGCCAAGUAGCGUGAAGGAUGACUGCCCUAUGGGUUGUAAACUUCUUUUAUAUGGGAAUAAAAUGUUCCACGUGUGGGAUUUUGUAUGUACCAUAUGAAUAAGGAUCGGCUAACUCCGUGCCAGCAGCCGCGGUAAUACGGAGGAUCCGAGCGUUAUCCGGAUUUAUUGGGUUUAAAGGGAGCGUAGGUGGAUUGUUAAGUCAGUUGUGAAAGUUUGCAGCUCAACCGUAAAAUUGCAGUUGAAACUGGCAGUCUUGAGUACAGUAGAGGUGGGCGGAAUUCGUGGUGUAGCGGUGAAAUGCUUAGAUAUCACGAAGAACUCCGAUUGCGAAGGCAGUUCACUGGACUGCAACUGACACUGAGGCUCGAAAGUGUGGGUAUCAAACAGGAUUAGAUACCCUAGUAGUC